rnacentral:rRNA from 1 species
UACGUAGGGUGCAGGCGUUAAUCGGAAUUACUGGGCGUAAAGCGUGCGCAGGCGGUUUGCUAAGACCGAUGUGAAAUCCCCGGGCUUAACCUGGGAACUGCAUUGGUGACUGGCGGGCUAGAGUAUGGCAGAGGGGGGUAGAAUUCCACGUGUAGCAGUGAAAUGCGUAGAGAUGUGGAGGAAUACCGAUGGCGAAGGCAGCCCCCUGGGCCAAUACUGACGCUCAUGCA